CCAUUGUGAGCAAAAAAAACUUAUACAACUUUCAACAAUGGAUCUCUUGGCUCUCGCAUCGAUGAAGAACGCAGCGAAAUGCGAUAAGUAAUGUGAAUUGCAGAAUUCAGUGAAUCAUCGAAUCUUUGAACACACCUUGUGCUCCUUGGGUUACCUAUGGAGCAUGCCUGUUUGAGUGUCAUGUUAACCUCAAUUCCCCUCAUGCUUUUUCAUUUGUUUUUUUACAAAUGAAAGGGUUUGUUUUUAGGGUAAUUGGAUUUUGGGGGUUCAUGCAGGGUCCCCCUUGUAGGGAAUCAGCUCCCCUUAAACAUAUUAGCUUGGAGGGAUGAAGCAAAUAGCUCUUAGCAUUGUUCAUUGGCUAUGGUGUAAUAAUUGUUUCAUCAUGGCAAUAUAAGUGAUUCAAUGCAAAUGGGGAAUAUAGUCCUCAGGAGACUUUUGUAGCAUUUCUCUGCUUCUAAUUUGUCAGGUCUUAUCUGGCAAUUCAUGUAUUUUCUUUGGCCUCAAAUCAGGUAGGACUACCCGCUGAACUUAAGCAUAUCAUUAAGCGGAGGAAAAGAAACUAACAAGGAUUCCCCUAGUAACUGCGAGUGAAGCGGGAAGAGCUCAAAUU
rnacentral:rRNA from 1 species